AGUGAACGCUGGCGGUAGGCCUAACACAUGCAAGUCGAACGGCAGCACAGUAAGAGCUUGCUCUUACGGGUGGCGAGUGGCGGACGGGUGAGGAAUACAUCGGAAUCUACUUUUUCGUGGGGGAUAACGUAGGGAAACUUACGCUAAUACCGCAUACGACCUACGGGUGAAAGCAGGGGAUCUUCGGACCUUGCGCGAUUGAAUGAGCCGAUGUCGGAUUAGCUAGUUGGCGGGGUAAAGGCCCACCAAGGCGACGAUCCGUAGCUGGUCUGAGAGGAUGAUCAGCCACACUGGAACUGAGACACGGUCCAGACUCCUACGGGAGGCAGCAGUGGGAAAUAUUGGACAAAGGGCGCAAGCCUGAUCCAGCCAUACCGCGUGGGUGAAGAAGGCCUUCGGGUUGUAAAGCCCUUUUGUUGGGAAAGAAAAGCAGCAGGUUAAUACCCCGCCGUUCUGACGGUACCCAAAGAAUAAGCACCGGCUAACUUCGUG
rnacentral:rRNA from 1 species